ACGGAGGGGGUUAGCGUUGUUCGGAAUUACUGGGCGUAAAGCGCGCGUAGGCGGACUAGUCAGUCAGGGGUGAAAUCCCGGGGCUCAACCCCGGAACUGCCUUUGAUACUGCUAGUCUUGAGUUCGAGAGAGGUGAGUGGAAUUCCGAGUGUAGAGGUGAAAUUCGUAGAUAUUCGGAAGAACACCAGUGGCGAAGGCGGCUCACUGGCUCGAUACUGACGCUGAGGUGCGAAAGCGUGGGGAGCGAACAGG
rnacentral:rRNA from 1 species